AAAGACAAUAAGCCGUUCAUUUCAAAUUGGUAUUGAGUCAAAUUAUAUGUAUUUGAACUACAUAUUUAGAAGUAGAAAUCUUUAAAAUCUUUUAUACAUACCAGCUACAUUUUUAAAAAUUACUUUUGAAAAUAAAAUGUAAAACUUCCUUUCAUAAUCUUUUAUUAACCAACUUACCAAUAUCAAUAUUCUCUCUUCCUAGAGACACUAAUGAUAAGAAGAGGAUUUCUCUGUAUAAACUCCUAUAAAACAAAUAUGUUUUAAAAGUCAAUGGGCAAAUAGCAUAAAAACACAGAUGCAUUUUUUUUUAACGGUGAAGACAUUAAGUUCUGUCAUCUAGUUAACUGUAAUAUACCUAUGUCAAUGUCCUGGUUUUAAUAUUACAUUACAGUUAGUUAUAUGAGGUGUCACAUUUGGAGGAAGCUGUGUGAAGGCUACAUUGAAUUCUGUACUAUUUUUGUAACUUCCUGCAGGUUUCUAUUCCAAAUUAAAGUUAAAACAUAGUUAAUGGGCAUAAAGCUUCACACUAGUAACAAUUAAAAAUGGCUUAACUUUAUUACAUUUCAACAAUACAUAACUGUUUUAACUCUAAUUUCCAAAUAAAAUUUACAAAAGCAGAGUCUUCUCUCAUCUUUUGUCACUUGACAAAGUAACAGAUUAAUUUCUAAGUAAGUUAGGGGUCUAAAACCCUCGACACAAACAAUGUAAAAGGUGGUGUGGUCUCUUUACUAUUUAACCCAAUAGCAAAGGACAGUUGACCUUUAUUUGGUUUGUGAGCAUUAAAAUGUUACAAAUGAAACACUAAAAGUGAACUUCAUGACUCAGUUGUUAAAGAUGACAGGAAAACUUAAGAAAUGCACUGAUGUACAGAAAAAAAAAAGGAUGUAACGCUGAUUCUAGUGACACUUCGUAUCACUUUCUUUAGAAGCUUCAGAAGCCAUAAUAUGACAUUUCUAAUAUUACAUUCCUGUCCUUAAACUACAGAUGCUUGAAGCAAGCUACUCAUAUUACAGACUGUGAAGAAGGUCAUCUCUACCUCAAAUACUGAUAGUAAAAAUGGAUCCAUCCAUUUUCAUUAUCAAUUCUUGCCCUAAAAAAUAUUUUUCCUGC
rnacentral:lncRNA from 1 species